GGAGGAGAGGCAGAACAUCCGAGCUGGACAUUCGGGUGGCGGACGCAUGAACGGGCAAGUCAUUAGAUGGAUGAGGGGCUAAGCGUGGAUGGACGGAUGUAUUGUUGACGGACCAUUGAAUGAACCGCACGGAGUUCCUCAAUUUAAGAUUUAUUGCAAAAUAGUGAAAUUUGUGUAGGGGUUCUCGAACUGGAAAUUUAAGAUGUGUCAUUGAAGACUCUUUUCUAACAUUAAUAAAAAU
rnacentral:lncRNA from 1 species